AUUGAACGCUGGCGGCAGGCCUAACACAUGCAAGUCGAGCGGAUGACGGGAGCUUGCUCCUUGAUUCAGCGGCGGACGGGUGAGUAAUGUCUAGGAAUCUGCCUGGUAGUGGGGGACAACGUUUCGAAAGGAACGCUAAUACCGCAUACGUCCUACGGGAGAAAGCAGGGGACCUUCGGGCCUUGCGCUAUCAGAUGAGCCUAGGUCGGAUUAGCUAGUUGGUGGGGUAAUGGCUCACCAAGGCGACGAUCCGUAACUGGUCUGAGAGGAUGGACAGUCACACUGGAACUGAGACACGGUCCAGACUCCUACGGGAGGCAGCAGUGGGGAAUAUUGGACAAUGGGCGAAAGCCUGAUCCAGCCAUGCCGCGUGUGUGAAGAAGGUCUUCGGAUUGUAAAGCACUUUAAGUUGGGAGGAAGGGCAGUAAGCUAAUAUCUUGCUGUUUUGACGUUACCGACAGAAUAAGCACCGGCUAAUUCUGUGCCAGCCGCCGCCGUAA
rnacentral:rRNA from 1 species